rnacentral:rRNA from 1 species
GUCCUAGCCGUAAACGAUGGGCACUUGGUGUUGGGGUAUUGAGUCCCCCGGUGCCGGAGUUAACACGUUAAGUGCCCCGCCUGGGGAGUACGGUCGCAAGACUGAAACUCAAAGGAAUUGACGGGGGCCCGCACAAGCGGUGGAGCAUGUGGUUCAAUUCGACGCAACGCGAAGAACCUUACCGGGGCUCGAACGGUAACUGCAAUUUCUGGAAACAGAAAGUUCUCUUCGGAGACGGUUAUCGAGGUGCUGCAUGGCUGUCGU